UUGAACGCUGGCGGCAGGCCUAACACAUGCAAGUCGAGCGGAUGAAGGGAGCUUGCUCCUGGAUUCAGCGGCGGACGGGUGAGUGAUGCCUAGGAAUCUGCCUGGUAGUGGGGGAUAACGUCCGGAAACGGGCGCUAAUACCGCAUACGUCCUGAGGGAGAAAGUGGGGGAUCUUCGGACCUCACGCUAUCAGAUGAGCCUAGGUCGGAUUAGCUAGUUGGUGGGGUAAGGGCCUACCAAGGCGACGAUCCGUAACUGGUCUGAGAGGAUGAUCAGUCACACUGGAACUGAGACACGGUCCAGACUCCUACGGGAGGCAGCAGUGGGGAAUAUUGGACAAUGGGCGAAAGCCUGAUCCAGCCAUGCCGCGUGUGUGAAGAAGGUCUUCGGAUUGUAAAGCACUUUAAGUUGGGAGGAAGGGCAGUAAGUUAAUACCUUGCUGUUUUGACGUUACCAACAGAAUAAGCACCGGCUAACUUCGUG
rnacentral:rRNA from 1 species